UCUUAAACCUGAUUGCAGCGGCAUCCUUUUAGUUAACAUGCUGAGCGAAGGCGAAGCAUGGCUAAAAGAUAGAGCGGAAAGCAGGACGAGGC
rnacentral:sRNA from 1 species